rnacentral:tRNA from 1 species
GGGGGUAUAAUUAAAUUGGUAGAAUGUCGGUUUUGCACGCCGAAAGCGCGGAUUCAAAUUCCGCUACCUCCA